ACAGCUUGUUAUACUAUAAAAACGUAUCUCUAUAAUCAAACAAUUAGAUCAAAAUUAUGAAUGUACAUGAUUAAUUGACUGGCCGCCUCACGUGAAAUUGAGGUGGUCAAUGUGUUACCUUAGACAACAUGUUAUACCAUGCAUAGGCAGAUUUCACACAAAUCUAAAGGAUUAAUUUGUGAGUUAAAAAGUAAAAAGGAAAAGUGCAAAGCAUUUUGUAGUCUCGUGUGGGAUACAUUUAUGCAAAUUAAAUGAGGAUUUUUAAAACGUGUUCGUUUAUCGUACAUUGUAUAGUUAAUUUUAAUCAAGUAUUGUUCAUAUUUAAUUUUAAAUAAAAGUAUUUAAAAUCAUUUGUAACCACACAAUAUACAAUAAACGGACACAAUUUAAGAAUCUUUAGAAUUCUGACAAAGAGCAUCCGGAUCCUCAUUCAUGCAAAUUGGACACGAUUGAUGUGCAAAAGAUCUGCUCAAAAUUGAUAUCCCAAGUCCAAACAAAAUCGGUGAGGGCAUUGAUGUCACUUCAUAAAUUUAUCAGGGCUCUGUCGUUUUCCGUAACAGCAUCAGAUAGGGGUAUUCUUGUCUUUUACCCUAAAAUAGUCCGCUAGGGGUUUCUUCUUUGAGUUUUAUCUGUCAGGACUGUUUCAUAUGGUUGCAUGUUAAAAAAGGGAGCCAAUCGAGAGAAACCUCCUAACCAAGUACUGUGGAU
rnacentral:lncRNA from 1 species